CUCCCCGAAGCUCGUCCUUUUGUGCCCACACCAUCUUGGCAAACGGCGCCAUGGUCGUGACCGAUGCCACGCAGGAUUUACGUUUCAACGGCAAUCCGCUGGUCCUCGGCGAUCCGCAUAUCAGAUUCUAUGCCGGCUAUCCGGUGGUUUCCUCAGACGGGGUGCCGCUCGGCGCGGUCUGCGCCAUCGACACGUCGCCGCGGGACAUUAGCCCGCAGGA
rnacentral:misc_RNA from 1 species